rnacentral:rRNA from 1 species
CCUACGGGCGGCUGCAGUGGGGAAUAUUGCACAAUGGGCGCAAGCCUGAUGCAGCCAUGCCGCGUGUGUGAAGAAGGCCUUCGGGUUGUAAAGCACUUUCAGCGGGGAGGAAGGCGUUAAGGUUAAUAACCUUGGCGAUUGACGUUACCCGCAGAAGAAGCACCGGUUAACUCCGUGCCAGCAGCCGCGGUAAUACGGAGGGUGCAAGCGUUAAUCGGAAUUACUGGGCGUAAAGCGCACGCAGGCGGUCUGUCAAGUCGGAUGUGAAAUCCCCGGGCUCAACCUGGGAACUGCAUUCGAAACUGGCAGGCUAGAGUCUUGUAGAGGGGGGUAGAAUUCCAGGUGUAGCGGUGAAAUGCGUAGAGAUCUGGAGGAAUACCGGUGGCGAAGGCGGCCCCCUGGACAAAGACUGACGCUCAGGUGCGAAAGCGUGGGGAGCAAACAGGAUUAGAUACCCCUGUAGUC